rnacentral:rRNA from 1 species
GACGAACGCUGGCGGCGUGCUUAACACAUGCAAGUCGAACGGAAAGGCCCUGCUUUUGUGGGGUGCUCGAGUGGCGAACGGGUGAGUAACACGUGAGUAACCUGCCCUGACUUUGGGAUAAAUUUAGGAAACUGGGGCUAAUACUGGAAAGGAAUUCCUGCUGCAUGGUGGGGGGUGGAAAGUUUCGGCGGUUGGGGAUGGACUUGGGGCUUAUCAGCUUGUUGGUGGGGUAGUGGCUUACCAAGGCUUUGACGGGUAGCCGGCCUGGGAGGGUGGCCGGCCACAUUGGGACUGAGAUACGGCCCAGACUCCUACGGGAGGCAGCAGUGGGGAAUAUUGCACAAUGGGCGGGAGCCUGAUGCAGCAACGCCGCGUGCGGGAUGACGGCCUUCGGGUUGUAAACCGCUUUCGCCUGUGACGAAGCGUGAGUGACGGUAAUGGAUAAAGAAGCACCGGCUAACUACGUG